rnacentral:rRNA from 1 species
GUCUACUGCCAUACCACCCUGAACACGCCCAAUCUCAUCUGAUGUUGGAAGCUAAGCAGGGUCGGGCCUGGUUAGUACUUGGAUGGAAGAAUUACCCUUACCAAUUCCAAGGGUUUUUCU